AGUGGAAUUGCUGGAUUAUAUGGUAAUUAUUUGUUAAAUUUUUUGAGGAAUUGACAUACUAUUUAUCACAGUGGCUUCAUUAUUCUACAUUCCUACCAGCAAA
rnacentral:pre_miRNA from 1 species